GACAGAGGUGCCGAGCGUUAGGCGGAAUCACCGGGCUUAAAGCGUGUGUAGGCGGGCCGUUAAGUGUCUUGUGAAAUCCCCCGGCUCAACCGGGGAAUUGCUGGGCAUACUGGCGGUCUUGAGCAAUCUAGGGGCAGAUGGAACAAGUGGUGGAGCGGUGAAAUGCGUAGAUAUCACUUGGAACGCCAAAGGUGAAGACAGUCUGCUGGGGAUUUGCUGACGCUGAGACACGAAAGCCAGGGGAGCGAACGGG
rnacentral:rRNA from 1 species